UCCUCAUCGCAAGAUUUUUAUUAUGCAGUUGAGUUUAGAACUGCUGCUGCUGAAGGUAGAACUGUUGAGCAAAAAGUCUUGGAGUCCAAUCCUGUUCUUGAAGCCUUUGGGAAUGCAAAGACGGUUAGGAACAAUAAUUCAAGUCGUUUUGGUAAGUUUGUGGAGAUUCAAUUUGAUCAGAAGGGAAGAAUUUCAAGAGCUGCUAUCAGAACAUAUUUACUGAAAAGACCACGUGUUUGCCAACUGUCAAACCCAGAGAGAAAAUUAUCACUGUUUCUACAUGCUCUGCGCUACAUCAUAUGAGGUAGUGAGAUUCUUUUUCUUGUACUAAUUUGUUUCUGGAUGAAAUCACACAUUUGAGUGACCGAUAAUUACACAAAAAUCCUCGACAUAGGACCUCUAGAGUGUUCGAUAGAGAAUAAAAGAUCAUUUCCUUUUUCUAUCAUUGUCUUCAUGUUAAGUAUACAGUGUUCUUUGUACAUUAUGCCCUUUUGCUUAAUUAUGGUAAUGCAUACGGUUGUUAUUCAUUGUAAUCAUUUUUUCCGUGCUUAGAAGCUUAGAGCACAUCAUUAUUCAUUAUUGGUCUUGCUAUUAGCUCUAGCUGAUAAUUUGAAUGGGGUAACAGAAAUUUAGCAUGAUAGAACUUUGUUUUGACAGGAGAUUAUAAAAUACAAAUUAGGACAUCCAAAAAUAUUUCAUUAUAUGAAUCAAUCAAAUUGCUAUGAGCUAGAAGGAAUUGACGAACAUAAAGAAUAUAUAGCUACAAGGAGAGCAAUGGAUGUUGUUGGAAUGAGUUCUGAGGAGCAGGUAUUUUAUAGGAAGUUUCUUUAAGUUCAUGAUUAGAUUCUUAAAUUUUAACAUGUGCUUCAAUGCUCUGCCUUUCCAUUUUUCUGUC